rnacentral:rRNA from 1 species
GACGGAGGGGGCUAGCGUUGUUCGGAAUUACUGGGCGUAAAGCGCGCGUAGGCGGGAAGCCAAGUUGGGGGUGAAAGCCCGGAGCUCAACUCCGGAACGGCCCUCAAAACUGGCUUUCUAGAAUCCGGGAGAGGUGAGCGGAAUUCCUAGUGUAGAGGUGAAAUUCGUAGAUAUUAGGAAGAACACCAGUGGCGAAGGCGGCUCACUGGACCGGUAUUGACGCUGAGGUGCGAAAGCGUGGGGAGCAAACAGG